rnacentral:lncRNA from 1 species
GAGAUGAAAUAAAAUAUUCAUUAGGAGCAAAAUAAAGUUUAUACAACUCCAGGAAUAGAAAAUUAAAAACAUAAAAUCCGUGUCCCUUUGUUAGGGCUGCAUCUGGCCCCAGUGAAGAGAUUAGCUUUCCAUGGUAUGGGAGGUAGCAGCAACGACGCAGAAGGCCUUCAUCAUAAUUGGGCUCCUCCCUUCUUCGUCUUCCCUCUCAGACUAAUCUCAACACGAACUGAAUAAAAAUCAAACUCCCUUCCUCAUAUAUUUUUUUUUCUUUCCGCGGGGAGUUAUUUCCAUAAUACCCAAAAGUAUUAUCUCUCCUUUCCUCUUCUUCCCGUGAGCACUCCUCUCAGCGGGAUUGAACUGAACCGAAGUGAAGCCUCCUCCUUUUAU